rnacentral:rRNA from 1 species
GGGUUGUGAGGUUAAGCGACUAAGCGUACACGGUGGAUGCCCUGGCAGUCAGAGGCGAUGAAGGACGUGCUAAUCUGCGAUAAGCGCCGGUAAGGUGAUAUGAACCGUUAUAACCGGCGAUUUCCGAAUGGGGAAACCCAGUGUGACUCGUCACACUAUCAUUAACUGAAUCCAUAGGUUAAUGAGGCGAACCGGGGGAACUGAAACAUCUAAGUACCCCGAGGAAAAGAAAUCAACCGAGAUUCCCCCAGUAGCGGCGAGCGAACGGGGAGGAGCCCAGAGCCUGAAUCAGCAUGUGUGUUAGUGGAAGCGUCUGGAAAGGCGCGCGAUACAGGGUGACAGCCCCGUACACAAAAGCGCAUGUGCUGUGAGCUCGAUGAGUAGGGCGGGACACGUGGUAUCCUGUCUGAAUAUGGGGGGACCAUCCUCCAAGGCUAAAUACUCCUGACUGACCGAUAGUGAACCAGUACCGUGAGGGAAAGGCGAAAAGAACCCCGGCGAGGGGAGUGAAAAAGAACCUGAAACCGUGUACGUACAAGCAGUGGGAGCACAGGUUUACCUGUGUGACUGCGUACCUUUUGUAUAAUGGGUCAGCGACUUAUAUUCUGUAGCAAGGUUAACCGAAUAGGGGAGCCGGAGGGAAACCGAGUCUUAAUUGGGCGUUAAGUUGCAGGGUAUAGACCCGAAACCCGGUGAUCUAGCCAUGGGCAGGUUGAAGGUUGGGUAACACUAACUGGAGGACCGAACCGACUAAUGUUGAAAAAUUAGCGGAUGACCUGUGGCUGGGGGUGAAAGGCCAAUCAAACCGGGAGAUAGCUGGUUCUCCCCGAAAGCUAUUUAGGUAGCGCCUCGUGAAUUCAUCUCCGGGGGUAGAGCACUGUUUCGGCUAGGGGGCCAUCCCGGCUUACCAACCCGAUGCAAACUGCGAAUACCGGAGAAUGUUAUCACGGGAGACACACGGCGGGUGCUAACGUCCGUCGUGAAGAGGGAAACAACCCAGACCGCCAGCUAAGGUCCCAAAGUCAUGGUUAAGUGGGAAACGAUGUGGGAAGGCCCAGACAGCCAGGAUGUUGGCUUAGAAGCAGCCAUCAUUUAAAGAAAGCGUAAUAGCUCACUGGUCGAGUCGGCCUGCGCGGAAGAUGUAACGGGGCUAAACCAUGCACCGAAGCUGCGGCAGCGANNUGCUGGAGGUAUCAGAAGUGCGAAUGCUGACAUAAGUAACGAUAAAGCGGGUGAAAAGCCCGCUCGCCGGAAGACCAAGGGUUCCUGUCCAACGUUAAUCGGGGCAGGGUGAGUCGACCCCUAAGGCGAGGCCGAAAGGCGUAGUCGAUGGGAAACGGGUUAAUAUUCCCGUACUUGGUGUUACUGCGAAGGGGGGACGGAGAAGGCUAUGUUGGCCGGGCGACGGUUGUCCCGGUUUAAGCGUGUAGGUGUGUGUUCCAGGUAAAUCCGGUUCACUUUAACACUGAGGCGUGACGACGAGGCACUACGGUGCUGAAGCAACAAAUGCCCUGCUUCCAGGAAAAGCCUCUAAGCAUCAGGUAACAUCAAAUCGUACCCCAAACCGACACAGGUGGUCAGGUAGAGAAUACCAAGGCGCUUGAGAGAACUCGGGUGAAGGAACUAGGCAAAAUGGUGCCGUAACUUCGGGAGAAGGCACGCUGACAUGUAGGUGAAGUGAUUUACUCAUGGAGCUGAAGUCAGUCGAAGAUACCAGCUGGCUGCAACUGUUUAUUAAAAACACAGCACUGUGCAAACACGAAAGUGGACGUAUACGGUGUGACGCCUGCCCGGUGCCGGAAGGUUAAUUGAUGGGGUCAGCGCAAGCGAAGCUCCUGAUCGAAGCCCCGGUAAACGGCGGCCGUAACUAUAACGGUCCUAAGGUAGCGAAAUUCCUUGUCGGGUAAGUUCCGACCUGCACGAAUGGCGUAAUGAUGGCCAGGCUGUCUCCACCCGAGACUCAGUGAAAUUGAACUCGCUGUGAAGAUGCAGUGUACCCGCGGCAAGACGGAAAGACCCCGUGAACCUUUACUAUAGCUUGACACUGAACAUUGAGCCUUGAUGUGUAGGAUAGGUGGGAGGCUUUGAAGCGUGGACGCCAGUCUGCGUGGAGCCGACCUUGAAAUACCACCCUUUAAUGUUUGAUGUUCUAACGUGGACCCGUAAUCCGGGUUGCGGACAGUGUCUGGUGGGUAGUUUGACUGGGGCGGUCUCCUCCUAAAGAGUAACGGAGGAGCACGAAGGUUGGCUAAUCCUGGUCGGACAUCAGGAGGUUAGUGCAAUGGCAUAAGCCAGCUUGACUGCGAGCGUGACGGCGCGAGCAGGUGCGAAAGCAGGUCAUAGUGAUCCGGUGGUUCUGAAUGGAAGGGCCAUCGCUCAACGGAUAAAAGGUACUCCGGGGAUAACAGGCUGAUACCGCCCAAGAGUUCAUAUCGACGGCGGUGUUUGGCACCUCGAUGUCGGCUCAUCACAUCCUGGGGCUGAAGUAGGUCCCAAGGGUAUGGCUGUUCGCCAUUUAAAGUGGUACGCGAGCUGGGUUUAGAACGUCGUGAGACAGUUCGGUCCCUAUCUGCCGUGGGCGCUGGAGAACUGAGGGGGGCUGCUCCUAGUACGAGAGGACCGGAGUGGACGCAUCACUGGUGUUCGGGUUGUCAUGCCAAUGGCACUGCCCGGUAGCUAAAUGCGGAAGAGAUAAGUGCUGAAAGCAUCUAAGCACGAAACUUGCCCCGAGAUGAGUUCUCCCUGAGACUU